GGUCCUGAGACUCACCCUGACGUGUUGUCUUGGUGUGCUGGAGCUCUCGUAGAUGGACCACUGUUCUUAUUCGCUGACUGGACCUGCUGUAGACCAGUCAGCCACACGAGCCAUGAUGG
rnacentral:snoRNA from 1 species